UACAGGGGGUGCAAACGUUGCUCGGAAUCAUUGGGCGUAAAGCGCACGUAGGCGGUCUGUUAUGUCGGAUGUGAAAGCCCUUGGCUCAACUGAGGAAGUGCAUCCGAAACUGGCAGGCUAGAGUACUAAAGAGGAUCGCGGAAUUCCUGGUGUAGCGGUGAAAUGCGCAGAUAUCAGGAGGAACACCAAUUGCGAAGGCAGCUCGCUGGGACGUUACUGACGCUGAGACGCGAAAGCGUGGGGAGCAAACAGG
rnacentral:rRNA from 1 species